AUUCUUUGGAAACAGAUAAAAGAGCUUAUUACCUACUCUGCCUGUUUUUGUCUUGAAAAUUAUAGAAAUAGAAAUUAGAAACACAUUAAGAAAUUUCAUUUUUCCUAUUGGUUUGAUUGGUUGAGUUUCAUGGUUAUUACUUGGUUUGAUUGGUUGAGUUUCAUGGUUUGGAAGGUUUUGUUCAGGUAGCAUGCUUGAUGCUCCAUGUAUUUCACAUAUAUAUCCAUUUUUUUGUGGCUUCAAUUUUCCUGUAAGUUACCAUACUACCGACGUCACGAAAGGGAGCUGCAUUUUUGGUGGCAUGUAAAUGUUAUAUUUAUUCUGCACAACUUCUAACAAAGUAACCAAAUCCAUGUCGUUACCCGUAAUCGAGAGCUUGAUGCCUGGAAGUAAACCUUACAAGAACAUCAAACCAAUGUCAUUUGUAAUGGAGAACCUAUGCUAAAUGACAUGCCAUUGAAAGUUUAUGAUAACAAGCUCAAACUUUUUAUUAAUUUUGGCACUGCUAUCACAGCCAUGGACAUCCCGGAGAUUCCACAUCACAGCUUCAAUUUCAAGCCAUUUAGAGAUUUCUUAAAUGGGGAUUUUGAAGUCGACCGCUUAUAUGAUAUGAUUGGUGUUAUCCACCAAAUUCACAGGACCCAAGUUGUUGGAGCUGGCUAAAAGGCUUGCAUCAAACUUACAUUAUACGAUGAAAGGAAUGAUGUGGUUAUGAAAGCAACCAUUGGAGUUCUUGGAGAUAUAACUGAUACAUUUGGAAGCAAUGCCGAUUCUUUAAUUGAUGUUGAAACUAUUUGUAAGAUAUUGAAACUGACACUAAAUAUCUUAUGUUGAAAGAUUUUGAGAUAAAAUCUCACAAUGACAAUGAUUCAAAACCUUUUUGCUACUAUAGGACCUAAUAAAGAGAAUCCUCUGACACUGUUACAAGCAUGACACAAUGAUUGCCUCCUUAACGACUCAAAUGCUGGCCACAGGUUAAAGUUGAUAGAGAAGGAAGAAUAUGAAAUGAUGACACAUUUUUAUUUGGGUUUCUUCCUAAGCAUUGCCACACAAUUGAUACAC